GUGUAUAUAGCUCAGUGGUAGAGAGCAUGCCUAGCAUGCAUGAGGUCCUGGGUUCAAUCCCCAGUGCCUCCA
rnacentral:tRNA from 1 species